GUUAUGUGAUGUUCUAGAUGAACAAGUUCCACUUUGUGGUUAUGUUUGGUAGCUAUUACAUCCAAAUGCAAUGACUGCAAGGUGUCUUCUAGCUUUUUCAAUUGCAAGAACAGCUUUCUCCCUCAUGUAUGCAUCAGAUAUUAGCUGUUUUGGCUUUUUUCUUCUUCUGUGCUCUCUUCACAUUCUUAUAAUUUUAUCAGUUUGUACUGCAUUUAAGGUCAUGGCUAAAAUAAGAAAUUAAUGUGCAUGAUACCAGAUAUAUUCCAUUCAUUACAUUAUCUAAACAUUAUAGACCCACUUAGAAUAAAUAAACAAGCAUGUCUUUCUCGUAGUACGCUUAAUGUAAAUGUGGAAACUGAGGGAUAUCAAAGUGAAACCAAUUAUCUCAGCCUGGGGUAAUUUUACAUAUGCUGUUUUUACAUCUUAGAAAAUCAAGGAACUAUCAUAUUCUUGCAACAAACCUAAAAGGAGGAGGACUUCCACACACUUGUUUCAUAUAACCAAGGCAUUUCUUUCUUUCUUUCUUUCUUUUUUCUUUUGAGACAGGAUCUCUCUCUGUUACCGAGGCUGGAAGUACAGCAGCGUGAUCACAGCUCGCUACAACCUUGCCCUCCUGGGAUCAAGUAAUCCUACCAGCUUAGCCUCCUGAGUGGCUGGGACUACAGAUGCAUGCCACUUCCCUCGCUAAGUUUUUAAUUUUUUGUAGAAAUGGAGUCUCACUACAUUGCCCAGGUUGACCUCAAACUCCUGGGCUCCAGUGAUCCUCCUGCCUCAGCCUCCCAGACUGCUGGGAUUAUAGGUAUGAGCCACCAUGCCCAGCCUAAGCAAGAAAUUUCUUCAGGAUGUAACAGUGGACAUCUGUGGAAACACAGCUUGUGGGAACACUGGAGUCUAACCUAUAAGUAGUGUUACUUCUGCUUGCUCCUCUAGGACACCUUAAGUGGACUUUGAGGAAAUUUUGUGUUCAGAUGAGAAAUCUGCUGUCACUCAAACUGUCAUUCUCCUAUGGGUGAUGUCAUUUAUCUUCAGCUGCCCUGAUGAUUUAUCUUUGAAAAGUUUGAUUGUAAUAUGCGUUAGUGUUCAUGUAUUUGGGUUUAUUCUGUUUGUG
rnacentral:lncRNA from 1 species